AACCCUUUAAAAUGUCAAUUCUAAAAAAGAUUGUAUGCCUCUUAUAGGAUAGACACCGUUUUGGACAGUGAGGACAGAGAGGUUUACAGGACAAUGCCACUGCCUUUUUGGAGCUUACUUUGUUGAGAUUGGGUGGCAGGUGAGGGGCGAGAGGGGGAAGAGGCAGCUGGCUUAUUGCACUUACCCCCAAUGAGAUGUCUUACAUGUGUGUUGAAUAAACAUCAGGGAACUGGGGUGGGUAGGUUAAACAACCAAAGGAUUGUUACAGUUUUGCUUCUUUGUGCAAGAAUGCCUAAGGCUUUACCAGUGCCCUGAGAGCUAUGUGAUAAAGGAUGGUCAAAUUGGCCUUCUAGCUGGGACAAUGAGCUCUUGUCUGACCCAGAAUCUCUUCCUUGGGAGUUACCCCUUCAUUUCUCUUCAUUGUUUUUAGGUUAACACCACAGAAAUGCAGCUGGCCGUUCUAGAACCUCUUUCCAGACAAACUACUUGCAGGCAUUAGGCUUCCUUGAGUUUUUAAGGAAAGCACCAAAGAAGUAAAGUCCCUGGUGGUUACAGACUACAUGGAAGUCCACCUUGCUCCACCGUGAAGGAAUUAGAGGAAGAUCAAUUGACCUCACCUGAGUUGAAUAUCUACCAGGAUUAAGCCAGAUGGGAGAAGGUAAUUGAAAGCCGACUACAGGGAAAGAAGAGAAGCAGAAAAGAAAUAUAUUUAGGAAAUACGGACAAAGAUUGUCUUGGAUGCCAUGAAGAUCAGCUCUUAGGAGAUAUGUGACUUAAUUUUCAUUCUGGUCAGGUGGCCGUAGCUGGCACACAAGUAGAAACAGAUGUUGUGAAGGGUAAGGAGGUAUGUGGUGCCAGUGUCUCAGUUCUGGGAAAAGGAAGCACUUCACAGAGAGUAGGUGCCACCCAUAGGGGCUGUCGUCUGCCAAGUGAAACCAGUUUGGCUGAGAGAGCUAAAAAUAAUUUCCAAGGG